CAGGACUUGACAUCCCUGUGACCGGGCCGUAACGGGACCUUUCCCUUCGGGGACACAGGAGACAGGUGGUGCAUGGUUGUCGUCAGCUCGUGUCGUGAGAUGUUGGGUUAAGUCCCGCAACGAGCGCAACCCUUGUCUUUAGUUGCCAGCAAGUAAAGUUGGGCACUCUAGAGAGACUGCCGGGGAUAACUCGGAGGAAGGUGGGGAUGACGUCAAAUCAUCAUGCCCCUUAUGUUCUGGGCUACACACGUGCUACAAUGGCUGGUACAACGGGAAGCGAAAGAGUAAUCUGGAGCAAAUCCUAAAAGCCAGUCUCAGUUCGGAUUGUGGGCUGCAACUCGCCCACAUGAGGUCGGAGUUGCUAGUAAUCGCGGAUCAGAAUGUCGCGGUGAAUGCGUUCCC
rnacentral:rRNA from 1 species